CUCUGCUAGGGCCCGGGUUCCCCCGCGCGAGGGCCGCCCCUCGGCGGGAUGUCUCGGCCCUCGGCCCCCGGCCCCCAGCCCCCAGGAGCACGCGUGGGGACUUCUGAUUCGCUUGACCAGCUUGGUGUAGCCAUCAUGUGUGAGCAACUGGAUCUCUCGGUGUUUCAAGGUUGGUGGGAACUCAGGAAGGGAAGGAGUGAACGUGGUGUUCAUUUCCUUCUGUGGGCACUACAGACAGGUGGGCAUGCCCUUGGUCCCUGUGAAGUGAAGUUAUGCCCUGUGUCCAGCAGAAUAAAAGCCCAUCCUGAAGAUUUUACAGGGACAAAGAAUUGCAUCUGCAGCUGGAGGAAAUCCUCCCUCGGUUCAGCAAGUGAAGUUGGUUCCAGGCAUGGAGUCUUGCAGCCUUACUCUGACUCUGGUGAUACCAGCUACUCAGGAAAACUGGAAAAUGAGAGCUCAUUCAGGGCAAGACUCCACUGGGGGAAAUACCAUUUCUCUUCAAGAGAGUCCUAUGGAUGCUGUCUCUCCAUAUCUCAUAACAGAUCUACUGAACUUGCCAAAUCGUUGGAGAGAGGCAGAUGACAUGGCCAUUUUUAAAAAGAAGAAAGUAAGUUCUGCAAACCACAGAGCAGUGAACUUGACUUUGGGCCUGGGAAACAUUCAGGACAGAAUGAUUUCCUUGCCUUUUCCAGCUUCUAGAGACUGCCUUUUCCUUGGCUUGAGAUCUCUUCCUUCAACUUCAAAGUAAGUGUCCUUUAAUCUGGAGUAGUUUUCAGCUUUUUCGUCCUUCAAGACAUGGACAUGUAUUUAGAGUCCAGGCUGGUGUUGUGUGUCUCAGUUAUGUUUUUCAGCCUGCUCCUGUGUAGAAUCAGGUCACAUAUUUUGGGUAGCGGUGCCGUGUAACAGAUGUGUGUCCUCCGUGCAUCCUACCAUGAGGCACAAACAUCAGUUUGUCUCAUUAUUCCUGACACUUUAUUUAACCAAAGGUUGAGAUGGUGAUAUGUUUCUCCAUUGCAAAGGUACUUCUUUCCCUUUGGAAGUAAUCAGUUAUCUGUGGGGAAGAUGCUUCAAGAUUAUGUAAAUAUCCUAUUUUCCAAUGAACUUUCACCCAGUGGUUUAGCAUCCAUUAAUGAUAAUGCGAUGAUGUUUGCAAAAUGUUGAGUGUUGUAAUUCGGUUCCUCCAUCAGCAUUUAUUAGCUGACAUUUCCCUGCAUUUAUCCUUGCCCUUCUCCAGUCUGUUCUCUAGUAAGCAGCUGGAAUGACCUUCUAAAACCACAAAUGUGAUCAGACUCUCCAGUGGUUUCCCACUGCCAUCAGAUGUGGCCAGACUCCCUCUUAUGGUUGUUGGGAACUUCCAUGACCUGAACCCUUCCACGCUGGUCUCCAGCCUGGUCUCCAGCCACUCCCCCGACGCCCACUGCACUGGGCUCCUUACGGAACUUCAAACAGUCCAUGCUGCUUUCCACCAUAGGGCCUCCCCACCCACCCCUUUGUCUGGAACUCUCGUCCUUCAUCCCCUGCAUUCCUUACUCAUCAAAUCCCCACGUGUCCUUCACAUAUCACAUCCUAAGGGAAGCCUUCUGUCUGACCCGUAGACCAGGUCAGAUUCCCAGGUAUACUCCCUCACCGCACACGUCCUUCCCCUUUAGAGGAGCACCCCAGUUUGUAACUGUACACGUAUUUGUUCAGUUAAGCUCUGAGCUCCGUAACAGGCAGAGAACUUUGUCUGGUUUUGCUCACUUAUGUUUGCAGCACCUAACAUGGUGCCAAGCCGAGAGUAAUCAUUAAAUACUUGUUGAAUGAACCAAUAUAGGUUUAAGAUAAGGAUGGAGGGGAGAGUGGAGGACAAGAAGAGGACUGAGUUAUUGGAGUCAGAGCGCAAAUGGGCAGGGACUUGCUUCCAGGCCACUCGGUGGAUCGGGUCCUGGCAGCAGAAGCAGGGGAGUCACAUCCCAGCCUGCCUUCGGGACUUGGUAGAGAGCUGGGAUGGUAGAGGGGAUGGCCUCUGGCUCCUUAGAGAGUGAGGGUGUUAAGGACAAAAAGCAGGAUCUUCAGAACCAGGCAGAGUGAGGUCUGGAGGCUGGCUGUGCUCUGCUUCUUUGGGGCGAUCACUUUACUCUGAGCCUCUUUUCUCAGCUGUACAAAAGUAUCAUGCCACUGUCACAGGGACGGGAGGGCGAAGCGAGUCUGUGAGGCACCCACCCCCAGCUGUGUGACCUGCCGCGCACUACUGAAACCCCUUGGGCCCGUUUCUUCCUCUGAGAAUGGGGCCGACCAGAGCGUGUUCAUUCACACAUUCAAUGAGUAGUCAUCGAGUGCCUACAUCUCGCCAGGGAACAAGACCAGCAAAACUCCCUGCCUUUCCUGAGGCUUGCACUGCAGUGAGGGAUAAACGAUAGGAUAAGUAGGUGAAAGACAGAGGAUGAGCUGGGACAAGGAACAAAGCAGAGAGGGGGAAGUGAAAUGUUGCAGGAAUGGGAGAGAGGGAGAAAUUUUAGACAGGGGGCCAGGGAGGGAGAUGUAUCCGAGACAAGAAGGACACGGGAGCAAGCUUGGGAUACCCAGGGGAUGCAGGCACCACGCCCAGAGCUCUGCACUCACUGAAGCUCCAGACAUGUCCCCUAGCCAUGCACUCUCCCCGCCAAGCACGGCCCCGUGGCCCCAGCAGACCCUUCCCCACAGCUGGAGGUGAGGUGGCCCAGUGCAAAGGAAUUCAGGCACACAUCAUUCAGCUUUGGGGUGUGGCUUUGCAGCCUGGUGGCUUUCCUCCCUGGCUGAUGCAGUUGACACCUCAAACUUGGUGGGGAAAAAAACAAGAAACAACCCAAACUCCCUUCUGAAGGAAUUUCGCAUUUUCCAUUGUGCAACCCUUGGAAGUGUCUCUUUUUCACCCACUGUUUACUUGAAGUAGAGCCUACAGAUCACAAGUGGACAUGGCUGGAUGAAUUUUUACCAAGUGAACACAGUACAACCAGCACCCAGAUCAAGAAGUAGACUGUUACUAGGACCCUAACAUCCCCACUCUGUGCUAACCACUGCCCCGCCCUGUCUUCCUGCACCAAAGAUCAGUUUUGCCCAAUUUUGAGCAUUUUAUUAAUAAAAUCAUAUAGUGUGUA